ACUUGGUUAGUUUAGUUGGUAGAACAUCAGGCUUUAAAUUUGCAGGUCAGGGGUUCAAAUCUUUAAUUGCGGA
rnacentral:tRNA from 1 species